GUGGGGAAUCUUGCGCAAUGGGCGAAAGCCUGACGCAGCCAUGCCGCGUGGAUGAUGAAGGUCUUAGGAUUGUAAAAUCCUUUCACCGGUGAAGAUAAUGACUGUAGCCGGAGAAGAAGCCCCGGCUAACUUCGUGCCAGCAGCCGCGGUAAUACGAAGGGGGCUAGCGUUGCUCGGAUUUACUGGGCGUAAAGGGCGCGUAGGCGGACAUUUAAGUCAGGGGUGAAAUCCCGGGGCUCAACCUCGGAACUGCCUUUGAUACUGGGUGUCUUGAGUAUGAGAGAGGUGUGUGGAACUCCGAGUGUAGAGGUGAAAUUCGUAGAUAUUCGGAAGAACACCAGUGGCGAAGGCGACACACUGGCUCAUUACUGACGCCGAGGCGCGAAAGCGUGGGGAGCAAACAGGAUUAGAUACCCGAGUAGUCC
rnacentral:rRNA from 1 species